UACGGAGGGAGCAAGCGUUACUCGGAAUUAUUGGGCGUAAAGAGCGUGUAGGCGGCCAGGUAGGUCUGCUGUGAAAACUCGAGGCUCAACCUCGAGACGUCGGCGGAAACCAUCUGGCUAGAGUCCGGAAGAGGAGAGUGGAAUUCCUGGUGUAGCGGUGAAAUGCGCAGAUAUCAGGAAGAACACCCGUGGCGAAGGCGGCUCUCUGGGACGGUACUGACGCUGAGACGCGAAAGCGUGGGGAGCGAACAGG
rnacentral:rRNA from 1 species